rnacentral:rRNA from 1 species
AGCAGCCGCGGUAAUUCCAGCUCCAAUAGCGUAUAUUAAAGUUGUUGCAGUUAAAAAGCUCGUAGUUGAAUUUCGGGGUUAGUAGAUUGGUCAUGCCUCUGGUAUGCACUGGUCUUACUGAUUCCUCCUUCCUGAUGAACCGUAAUGCCAUUAAUUUGGUGUUGCGGGGAAACUGGACUGUUACUUUGAAAAAUUAGAGUGUUUAAAGCAGGCUAACGCUUGAAUACAUUAGCAUGGAAUAAUGAAAUAGGACGUUCGAUCUUAUUUUGUUGGUUUCUAGGAUUGACGUAAUGAUUAAUAGGGAUAGUUGGGGGCAUUAGUAUUCAAUUGUCAGAGGUGAAAUUCUUGGAUUUAUUGAAGACUAACUACUGCGAAAGCAUUUGCCAAGGAUGUUUUCAUUAAUCAAGAACGAAAGUUAGGGGAUCGAAGACGAUCAGAUACCGUCGUAGUCUUAACCAUAAACUAUGCCGACUAGGGAUCGGAUGAUGUUAAUUUUUUAAUGUACUCAUUCGGCGCCUUA